GAAGAGAAGAGAGGAGAAGGC
rnacentral:sRNA from 1 species